rnacentral:rRNA from 1 species
GCAGCCGCGGUAAUACGGAAGGUCCGGGCGUUAUCCGGAUUUAUUGGGUUUAAAGGGAGCGUAGGCCGGAGAUUAAGCGUGUUGUGAAAUGUAGACGCUCAACGUCUGCACUGCAGCGCGAACUGGUUUCCUUGAGUACGCAUAAAGUGGGCGGAAUUCGUGGUGUAGCGGUGAAAUGCUUAGAUAUCACGAAGAACUCCGAUUGCGAAGGCAGCUCACUGGGGCGCAACUGACGCUGAAGCUCGAAAGCGCGGGUAUCGAACAGGAUUAGAUACCCC